rnacentral:rRNA from 1 species
AGCGGCGGAUGGGUGAGUAACACGUGGGGAACCUGCCCCUAAGUCUGGGAUACCAUUUGGAAACAGGUGCUAAUACCGGAUAAUAAAGCAGAUCGCAUGAUCAGCUUUUGAAAGGCGGCGUAAGCUGUCGCUAAGGGAUGGCCCCGCGGUGCAUUAGCUAGUUGGUAAGGAAACGGCUUACCAAGGCGACGAUGCAUAGCCGAGUUGAGAGACUGAUCGGCCACAUUGGGACUGAGACACGGCCCAAACUCCUACGGGAGGCAGCAGUAGGGAAUCUUCCACAAUGGACGCAAGUCUGAUGGAGCAACGCCGCGUGAGUGAAGAAGGUUUUCGGAUCGUAAAGCUCUGUUGUUGGUGAAGAAGGAUAGAGGUAGUAACUGGCCUUUAUUUGACGGUAAUCAACCAGAAAGUCACGGCUAACUACGUGCCAGCAGCCGCGGUAAUACGUAGGUGGCAAGCGUUGUCCGGAUUUAUUGGGCGUAAAGCGAGCGCAGGCGGAAAAAUAAGUCUAAUGUGAAAGCCCUCGGCUUAACCGAGGAGCUGCAUCGGAAACUGUUUUUCUUGAGUGCAGAAGAGGAGAGUGGAACUCCAUGUGUAGCGGUGGAAUGCGUAGAUGUAUGGAAGAACACCAGUGGCGAAGGCGGCUCUCUGGUCUGCAACUGACGCUGAGGCUCGAAAGCAUGGGUAGCGAACAGGACUAGAUACCCUGGUAGUCCAUGCCGUAACGAUGAGUGCUAAGUGU